CCUACGGGUGGCAGCAGUGAGGAAUAUUGGUCAAUGGACGAAAGCCUGAACCAGCCAAGUAGCGUGCAGGAUGACUGCCCUACGGGUUGUAAACUUCUUUUAUAUGGGAAUAAAACGUUUCACGUGUGGGACUUUGUAUGUACCAUAUGAAUAAGGAUCGGCUAAUUCCGUACCAGCAGCCGCGGUAAUACGGAGGAUCCGGGCGUUAUCCGGAUUUAUUGGGUUUACAGGGAGCGUAGGUGGAAUGUCAAGUCAGUUGUGAAAGGUUGCGGCUCAACCGGAAAAUUGCAGGUGAAACUGGCAGUCUUGAGUACAGGAAAGGUGGGCGGAAGUCGUGGUGUAGCGGUGAAAUGCUUAGAUAUCACGAAGAACCCCGAUUGCGAAGGCAGCUCGCUGGACUGGAACUGACACUGAGGCUCGAAAGUGUGGGUAUCGAACAGGAUGAGAUACCCUGGUAGUC
rnacentral:rRNA from 1 species